rnacentral:rRNA from 1 species
UACAGAGGGUGCAAGCGUUAAUCGGAAUUACUGGGCGUAAAGCGUGCGUAGACGGUUGCGUAAGUCAGAUGUGAAAUCCCCGGGCUUAACCUGGGAACUGCAUUUGUGACUGCAUGGCUGGAGUGCGGCAGAGGGGGAUGGAAUUCCGCGUGUAGCAGUGAAAUGCGUAGAUAUGCGGAGGAACACCGAUGGCGAAGGCAGCCCCCUGGGACUGCACUGACGCUCAUGCACGAAAGCGUGGGGAGCAAACAGG